AUGGAGACGAUGGAGACGAUGGAGACGCAGGGCUGCGAGCCCAUGCUGUGUGCAGCCAGAAGCUCACCGGUCACGGGCAAAUGUCUGCCUGCCUGAGAAACAAGAGUGAAGGUCUUUUGCUUGAUGACAUAAACGUUCAUUAUACCCAGUUUUAAAAAAGUAUUUGGCAUACAUGUUUACGUGUUCCAUCUCAUCCUUUUAGCUGUGGAUACAGUGUUGAUAAGUUCCCAGUUUAAUGAUGUGUUCUUUGCGGUUGUAUUUCUUUGACUUGACACUUUAAUCAGGAUUGUUUGGAAAGCCCCAUCCCCCAUCUUUGCUAUUCUAAGUCCUCAGACCUCAGCCUCCCAAGUAGGUAUGACAGCAGGCUUGCCCUGCUGUGCCUGCCUUAGCUGUUUCCCUCCCUCGCCCCACCAUGUUAUUGCUGUCUCCAAGGAAGAGCUCGCCUUUGUUUGUCGUUGUUUGUCUACUUGUUCUUCGUUUCUGAGCCUGGGUCUUAUUUUGGAGUUUAUAGGCCUGCUCAAGCUCAUGUCUCCCCAGCCUUUGCUUCUGAGGCUAAGGAGAGCUUAUCUUUGUCUGUAUGUGUGUUUGAGACAGUCUUUCCCAGAAUCUGGGGCUUGCCAUUUUGGCUAGGCUGCCUUGCCCGGAAGGCAAGGGGGAAAUCUUUCUGUUUGUGUCUCUCCAGUGCUGUGGCUGUAGCCACAAGCCUUCAUUCCCAGCUUUUUAGGUUGGUGCUGGGGAUCUGACCAGGCCUCCAUCCUAGUGUGGCAAGAACUUUACCUGCCGAGCCAUCUCUUCAGCCAUGUGAGACCCUCACACAUUGUUCAUCCUCUAAUGCAUCUACAGAUAGGUUCUGGUGUUGCAUUUAGUAAACCAUGAGAUGAUUUAAAGGGAGCUUACGGUUGGGAGCACGCCAACUCUUGGAGAGAGCUGCAGUUGAGUUCUGAGCACUUGGGUCAGAUGAUUGCCACCUGUACUGCCUGCAGCUCCAGGGCAUCCAGUGACUUCUCUUGCCCUGUACAGGUGCGCAUACACAAAUGGCUUUCAUUCUUAGAGAUGCACACCCAUGCAGAGAGAGAGGUACAUCAGCAUGCUUCAACUCUGACACACCUUUACUCUGACAUGAGCACUGUUAUGCAUACUUAAGUAAACUCUACAGUAGACACAGACUGGCACCUGUAUUGUUUUGGUUUUACUUUUUCCUUCUCCAAUUCCAACAUGUAUGGAUUCUUUCGUGUUUUGUUUUGUAAGGCAGUGUCUGAUGUGUCUCAGGCUUACUUCCAACUUGAUUUGUGUCAUAGAUGGCCUCGAGCUUCUGAUCUUCUGCUUCUACCUCCCAAGUGCUGGGACCACAGGCGAAUGCUACCGUGUUCCGUUGAUUUAGUCCAGAAGAUGGAAUGUAGGGCUCCACGCACUUAGGCAAGCGCUCUGUCAACCGAGCCACAGCCCAUCCCAAAGACAGACUUCUCUUUUUUUUUUUUUAAGAUUUAUUUAUUUAUUUAUUUAUUUAUUGCAUAUGAGUACAUCACCAUUGCUCCCUUCAGACACACCAGAAGAAGGCAUCAGGACUCAUUGCAGAUGGCUGUGAACCACCAUGUGGUUGCUGGGAAUUGAACUCAGGACCUCUGGAUGAGCAGUCAGUGCUCUUACCCACUGAGCCAUAUAAACAAGGCAUAAGAGGUAACAUUACCAUGAGGGGUAGUGGAGCAGUCACAGCCCUGUCAGCCUCACAUUAUUUAAGUCUUAUUGCCCAGGCCGGCUUCAGCUAGAAAUCCUCCUUCCUCGGCCUCCAGAGCUGCCGCAGCACGUGGCUCUUUAUUUUCUUAGGCAGAUAAUCUACUUGAUUUGACAAGGCUUUGUUUGAUUAGUUUUGUAAUUAUAUAAUUUGAAGGGUAACUAAAGAAUUAAAAUAAUUUGACCUCUAAAUUCAUUUGCCUCCCUGAUGUUCCACAGCAGAUCUUGAUAAGCGUUGCCGCUGCCCCAAACAAGCAGCAGGUGAUCCGUUCACAGCCCUCCCCGCUCCCACAGCAGCCCUGAAUUUCAGUGUAGGAUGACGUGAGCUGUCUUUCAUUUAUAGUUUAUCUUAGAAAGAAGUCAGGCCAGUUGUGGUGGUGCACGCCAGUAGGAUUUGCUGAAGGAGGCAGAGGCAGGAGGAUCAUGAGUUGGAGGUUAGCCUGGACUGCACAUUUUAAAAAAGAAAGAAAAAAGUCAGGCUUUCGUGGAUGAGUAGGUUUUGUUUCUGUGUGCUCUGCUUUACUGCACUGUCCUGUCUUGUCCUGAACCAUUGCUCACAGAGAUUUGUCUUACAUAUCUAUCUGUGAGUUCAAGGCCAGCCUGGCCCAUAGGUGAGUUCUAGACCCUGCCUCAAAACAAAGUCCU
rnacentral:lncRNA from 1 species